CAAUAGCGUAUAUUUAAGUUGUUGCAGUUAAAAAGCUCGUAGUUGGAUUUCGGAUGGGAUUUGCCGGUCCGUCGUUACGAUGUGCACUGGCCAGUCCUAUCUUGUUGUCGGGGACUAGCUCCUUGGAUUAACUUCAUGGGACUAGGAGCUGACGAGGUUACUUUGAGUAAAUUAGAGUGUUCAAAGCAAGCCUUCGCUCUGAAUACAUUAGCAUGGAAUAACACGAUAGGACUCUGGCUUAUCUUGUUGGUCUGUGAGACCAGAGUAAUGAUUAAGAGGGACAGUCGGGGACAUUCGUAUUUCAUUGUCAGAGGUGAAAUUCUUGGAUUUAUGAAAGACGAACUUCUGCGAAAGCAUUUGUCAAGGAUGUUUUCAUUAA
rnacentral:rRNA from 1 species